rnacentral:rRNA from 1 species
GUGGCCCCAAGUCAGGCGAGAUCACCCGCC